GAGAGUCCUGGGCAGGCAGCAGGCAUCUCCGCUUGGGUCUUUCAGGAUGAGCAGGAUGUUAUUGUCUCACAUUUGCUGAGUCUGGAAGGCAGGUCUCUCCAGUGGUUUUUGGAGCAAAUGUUUUGAUGGGCCAGCAUAGACACUGCCCAAACAUACAAGCAACUUGCCCAGUGUCCAGCUGUAAGCAAAUGCUACUCUUGAUGUGCUGGGGCACUAUGGUGGGCACAGGAAACUAAGCAUAACUAACAUUCAGACCUUCACUUCAAGGAGCCAGUCUUUGCAAGAGUGAAGAGAAACGGCCUUGAACCCUGUAAUCAUGUAACAAUUCCUGCUCCGGGACUCGGGAGAGGUGAACUUGGGUACAAUAUACACUCAUGCCUUCUGGGUCCAGAGACCAGUUCUGAAGCAGAAACCCACUGGGUACACACUGGAAGCUGGCUGUGUGUAAAAGCUACCAGAGAGACUCUAGUGAGGGAUCAUUCAGUUGCUAAAAGAUUAUUGUUAUAAAUUAUACAGCAUGGAGCUAAAUAAAUGAGCUUUUGAAACACUGGAGCGAGCGGUAUUCCACGCAUGUGUAUAUCCACACUUGCUUAUCCACUCAUCUGUGGGUGGAUAUUUAAGUUGCUUCCUCCUCUGGGCUAUUGUGAACAAGAACACUGUGAACAUCUGUGUGGGGUGAUGGCCUGAGCACCUGUUUUUAAUUCUUUAGGGGAAUGGCACCACCCACUGUUCUGGGUCUUCCUGAAUCAAUCAACAAUCAAGACAACCCC
rnacentral:lncRNA from 1 species